GCCGAAACUGAGUCACAUCCGAAUUUUUUUUUUGUACCCGGAAUCGAACUCAGGAACUUGUGCUUGUCAGGCAGGUGACAGAACCACUGAGAUAAAUCCCCAGCCCACAUAUGCAUUUUUGAAUAAAUCAUGGUACCAUUUAUUUGACUCUCUUUAGAAUGAUAAAUCUUGGCCUUGGAGGUAAGGUCAUUUCUUCAAACUGAUAUUUGUUAAUUGCUGGGUAGCAUAAUGGCCCGGGCCACGCCCAUGGCACGGUGAGGUCUCAGAGGUGUCUUGCAGCCCCACCCCCACCUGACGCUCUCAAAGCUGCAGCGACCGGCUCCGUUGAGACAAGACAAGCAGCUUGGGGUUCCUGCGGCCGUCCCGGGCCAUGCCCACGGCACGGUUGUGUACUGAGUGUGAGUUGGGGGCAAUCAGCAGCCCAGGGGCUAUUUUACGUCCAGUGUGAGGAAAAGUUCAGUUGAAGAGAUCCUAGUAGAUGACCUCACUUCUUUAUGAUGACACUUUGCUCAGAACCCUGUUGCCAAGCAACACAUAGCACCACUGACUGAUGCCUGCUCACUUGUCUGGAGACACAGGACAUGUCCCACUCCAGGAUGAAAAGGAGUCAAGCCUGACUCUGGAUACUCAAGCUUGCUUAGAGCUUUUGAAGAUGGAUGUAAGGGAAUCCAUGGUCAACCAUCUUGUGCGAUCCUUGCUUCAAGGGAACUGUUUGUUCCUGCACAAGUUUUUGCAAAACUACCAAGAUUUGGGACCAUGCAGCAGGAGCUGGAUCUGCUGUUGAAAAGAUGUGAUAACCUCAUGGCCUCUACAUACAGCCAAAGCCUCCAUUACUCCAGCAAAAUCGGUGGGCCUCUGGAUUAACUGAAAAAUGCCACUCUACCAUCUUGGGUACAUGGCUGGAAAAGUAUCCAGACCAGUUCCAGCAGCCUCCGGAGUUCACGUGCCUCAAGCAGCUGGUGGAGUACGUGCAGCUGCACAUGCCUGGCUCAGACCUGGAGCACUGUACGCACCUUCUACUGGCCCAGCUGAAAGACACACAGACUAUGAAGGCCAAGCCUGGGGGUGAGGAGGCCUGGGAUGUGUCCAUCAAAGCACAUGAGGAAGCCCAGGCAGCAGCACCAGUGCCAGGUCCAACUGGAGAGCGAGAGGCAGCUCCAGCAGCAGCCUCUAAGCCAGCAGUAGAUCCACCACCCAUUCUGGGGCAAGAGUUGGCUGCAGUGCCAGCUCCAUGGCCAGGUGCACCUAGAAAGCUACCUUGGGUUAUUCCAAAGAAGAAGCAGACUGGAACUGAGACUCUGGAGCUGGAGCCAGCCACAGCAGGCCCACUUCUACCAGUGGUGCCAUCCUGGCCUUCACCUAUGACCAUGAAAACCAGGGAUUCCACCUGGUUGCAGCAGGGCAAAAAGGCCAAGGAGCAGCUGCCGGCCUCCAUCUGCACCACUGUCAUUCAUCUCCCAAGUGUGUCAUCAGCACCGUCCUCAGGCACUACAUCAUGAAAGCCUCAGGCCAUGCCCAGGUGGUGGAGCACAGGGUCUCCAGGGACCCUCAGGAGUGCCAAAUUCUGAGGAACCGUGCCUCUCUCUCUGGGCUGUGAAUCAGCGUUAUCCAGUGCCUGAUGGAAACCUGGCAAGACUUCUCCAGGUGGCUGCACCUCUCCAUUGGAGCUCCAGGUGAACCAGCACCAUAAACUGGACAAAAUAUGUGCAGAACUUGUCUGUGAAGGUAGAAAUGUCUAGAAUGUAUUUUAUAAAGUUCCCC
ensembl:lncRNA